AGUGAGGAAUAUUGGACAAUGGAUGGAAAUCUGAUCCAGCCAUGCCGCGUGCAGGAAGGCGGCCCUAUGGGUUGUAAACUGCUUUUGUACGGGAGCAAUAAGGUCUACGAGUAGAUUGAUGAGAGUACUGUACGAAUAAGCAUCGGCUAACUCCGUGCCAGCAGCCGCGGUAAUACGGAGGAUGCGAGCGUUAUCCGGAUUUAUUGGGUUUAAAGGGUGCGUAGGCUGUUAUUCAAGUCAGUGGUAAAAGGUACAGGCUUAACUUGUAUGCGCCAUUGAUACUGAAUAGCUAGGAUAUGGAUGAAGUGUGCGGAAUGUGUGGUGUAGCGGUGAAAUGCAUAGAUAUCACACAGAACACCGAUAGCGAAGGCAGCACACUAAGGCAAUAUUGACGCUGAGGCACGAAAGUGUGGGGAUCAAACAGGAUUAGAUACCCUGGUAGUCCACACUGUAAACGAUGAUAACUAGCUGUUGGCGAUAGAAUGUCAGGAGCGAAGCGAAAGCGAUAAGUUAUCCACCUGGGGAGUACGGCCGCAAGGUUGAAACUCAAAGGAAUUGACGGGGGCCCGCACAAGCGGAGGAACAUGUGGUUAAUUCGAUGAUACGCGAGGAACCUUACCCGGGCUCGAACGGUGCAGUAAUAUGGUAGAGACAUCAUAGCUAGCAAUAGACUGUAUCGAGGUGCUGCAUGGUUGUCGUCAGUCGUGCCGUGAGGUGUAGGCUUAAGUGCCAUAACGAGCGCAACCCUUGUUGUUAGUUGCCAUCAGGUAAAGCUGGGGACUCUAGCGAGACUGCCACCGUAAGGUGCGAGGAAGGGGGGGAUGACGUCAAAUCAGCACGGCCCUUACGUCCGGGGCGACACACGUGUUACAAUGGUGGAUACAGAGGGGCGCUACCCAGAGAUGGGAUGCGAAUCUCUAAAGUCCAUCUCAGUUCGGAUUGGAGUCUGCAACUCGACUCCAUGAAGUUGGAUUCGCUAGUAAUCGCGCAUCAGCCAUGGCGCGGUGAAUACGUUCCCGGGCCUUGUACACACCGCCCGUCAAGCCAUGGGAGCCGGGGGUGCCUGAAGUUCGUGACCGCAAGGAGCGACCUAGGGCAAAACUGGUAACUGGGGCU
rnacentral:rRNA from 1 species